CCCUUAGAUGUUCUGGGCCGCACGCGCGCUACACUGAUGCAUUCAACGAGUCUAAAACCUGGUCUGAUAGGGCUGGGUAAUCUUUUGAAUGUGCAUCGUGAUUGGGAUAGAUGAUUGCAAUUCUUCAUCUUCAACGAGGAAUGCCUAGUAAACGCAAGUCAUCAGCUUGCAUUGAUUACGUCCCUGCCCUUUGUACACACCGCCCGUCGCUCCUACCGAUUGAAUGUUCCGAUGAAUACCAUGGACUGAGAGUAUGAAUGGGUUCGCCUAUUUCUGCUUCCCGGGAAGUGGAGUAAAUCUUAACAUUUAGAGGAAGGAGAAGUCGUAACA
rnacentral:rRNA from 1 species